rnacentral:lncRNA from 1 species
UAGCCCAGCCCCGAGUCUGGCAUCGAGCCAGGGGUCAUCGUGGAGGAGGUGGCACUGGUGCCACACCUUGGAUUGUUGAGGCCCCGAGAAGUUUCAGGCUCAGCCAGGAGCCAGUGAAUGGAGGCUGGCAGACACCAGAGGCUGGGAGAGACUGGUGCCUUGCCCUUCUCACUUCGAGUGCUUCUCUGGACAAGCCUUUGCCCAUCCUGGUCCCCAGCUGCAUGCUCAGCCCCGAGCUGGGUACACAGUGUGAUGACAAGAGAGCCAGGCCUGCUCUGCUCUGCUGGCUACCUGAUUGGAGAGGCAGGGCCUACAGAAACAGCCUGACCGCAACGGGUUUGGUCCGAGUGUGAGGGAGCCAAGCAUGUUUCUCAGGUCCCAGCUCCAGAGUGGGGAUCAGAGUGGUCGAGUGGGGGAGAAGGAAGGUGGCCACCAAGAAGAGUCACUGCAGGGCAGGGAUUCGGGGAUCGAGCUGGGCCUGCCUUCCUGGUUGUCGUUUAGGCCCAGGCCAGUGGGCAGUGGGGAUGGAAAAGCGUGGGGCCUUCUCUGCCUCUGGCCCUGCUCCUGAAGAUGUCUUGGCUCAUUUCUCAGCUCCGUUUUGCAUGCCUGACGGGCUGGGGCCCAGGGCAGCAUGUAGGAGAGCCCUGCUGUUCCUGUGCUUUUUACCAGAGGUUUGCAAACCACCAAUAAAUGUGCUGUUUACAAUGUAUUGAAGAGAAGUGGGGGCAUGGGGGUGGGUUGGGGGGGCCCCCCGAGGCCAUGCCCCUAUUGCCACCCAGGCAAGGACCAGGGCUGGGAGGCUGACGCACCCUUAAUAUAUGCGUGUGAAUCACCCACAGUUCCCCUUCCUGCCAAGGGUUUUAGAGACCCUGGGGCAGGUGCGGGCUCUUCUGUUCCUCUUUGGGGUAGAGGUUCACCAGGAAAGAGAGGGUAUGGGUGUGUCAGGGCUGGUCCUGCAGACACCCUCCCAAGGGGGCAGGGUGGGGAGUCUGAUCACAUUCAGGAGACGAGUCAGGGCUGCUGUUAGCUCCCUGUCCUCUUUCCCCCAGGGCCCCUGUUUCUCCAGCAGAAGAAGGGAAGGAACAGAAGGAACUGGGCCUGGAGGCCCGGCUGGGGCUUUAGCCCUGGGAGCCCGGCGUGGGUUUCUGCUCCAGUGCUUCAGCCCAAACCCCAGGGACCCUGGGAGGGGGACUUUUACUUCUUCAGCCCUAAGAAAUGAAUCUCACUUCCUGGAAAGGCUUGUGAAAAAAGAAACCCACAGAAAUCAGGACCUCCCCUUUGCGAAACAGCCCUGGGCUUGUCCUCUGGCACCAGGCUGUUCCCCUCGGGGCCUCUCCAACUCCCCUGGCACCAGGCCCUGGCAGUUUUUCCCCUUUGUUCCUGUGAGUGCCUGCCUUUCCCCUCCUCUGAACACUUCACCUUCGUACACAGUGGUCUGCAAAUGUGAAAAUCAUCUCCUCCUAUCAAGGCUUUAAGAUGCUUUCUCUGGUCUAAUUGCAUUGGCUGGCACGGAGGAGGGCACUUGGAAGAAGGAAGUGAGAGGUAAGAUCCAGUAGGAAGAGAGAAAGAGGUAGGGGCAGGGAGGGCAAGAAGGGAAUGGGACCUGAGCCU